rnacentral:rRNA from 1 species
AGUGAACGCUGGCGGUAGGCCUAACACAUGCAAGUCGAACGGCAGCACAGUAAGAGCUUGCUCUUACGGGUGGCGAGUGGCGGACGGGUGAGGAAUACAUCGGAAUCUACUUUUUCGUGGGGGAUAACGUAGGGAAACUUACGCUAAUACCGCAUACGACCUACGGGUGAAAGCAGGGGAUCUUCGGACCUUGCGCGAUUGAAUGAGCCGAUGUCGGAUUAGCUAGCUGGCGGGGUAAAGGCCCACCAAGGCGACGAUCCGUAGCUGGUCUGAGAGGAUGAUCAGCCACACUGGAACUGAGACACGGUCCAGACUCCUACGGGAGGCAGCAGUGGGGAAUAUUGGGCAAUGGGCGCAAGCCUGAUCCAGCCAUACCGCGUGGGUGAAGAAGGCCUUCGGGUUGUAAAGCCCUUUUGUUGGGAAAGAAAAGCAGCAGGUUAAUACCCCGCUGUUCCGACGGUACCCAAAGAAUAAGCACCGGCUAACUUCGUG